AAAAGUUGAACUGAACUGUGACGGAACCGUGAAACACUUUGUGCUCACCAAUGGAAAUAUUAUCAGUGGCGGUGUUUAUGUUAUUGCCACUCCUGUUGAUAUCUUGAAGCUUCUUUUGCCUCAAGAGUGGAGGGAAAUUUCAUACUUUAAGAAGCUGGACAAAUUAGUGGGAGUUCCGGUGAUUAAUGUUCAUAUAUGGUUUGACAGGAAACUGAAGAACAAUUAUGAUCAUCUUCUUUCCAGCAGGUCAUGCUCAAAUUAUUCCAUCAAGAUUUAUUUUUUUUUUAAAAAAUAGCAAU